rnacentral:piRNA from 1 species
UAUACUCAUAGAUUGAUAGAGUGAU